rnacentral:rRNA from 1 species
GAUGAACGCUGGCGGCGUGCCUAAUACAUGCAAGUCGAGCGAACAGAUAAGGAGCUUGCUCCUUUGACGUUAGCGGCGGACGGGUGAGUAACACGUGGGUAACCUACCUAUAAGACUGGGAUAACUUCGGGAAACCGGAGCUAAUACCGGAUAACAUUUGGAACCGUAUGGUUCUAAAGUGAAAGAUGGUUUUGCUAUCACUUAUAGAUGGACCCGCGCCGUAUUAGCUAGUUGGUAAGGUAACGGCUUACCAAGGCGACGAUACGUAGCCGACCUGAGAGGGUGAUCGGCCACACUGGAACUGAGACACGGUCCAGACUCCUACGGGAGGCAGCAGUAGGGAAUCUUCCGCAAUGGGCGAAAGCCUGACGGAGCAACGCCGCGUGAGUGAUGAAGGGUUUCGGCUCGUAAAACUCUGUUAUUAGGGAAGAACAAACGUGUAAGUAACUGUGCACGUCUUGACGGUACCUAAUCAGAAAGCCACGGCUAACUACGUG